rnacentral:lncRNA from 1 species
GCUGCUUAGAAGGAAGGAGGCACUGUCACAGUGUCCUGCUUCAGAGAGCCAGCAAAAAGGGGUAUAAGGUGAGGUAUUCUUUGAAAGACCCUUGCCAAUGCUUGCGACCCAUCUAGGGCCUAGGUGGCUUUUGCUGAGCCGGCUCACUGUAGACUGUGGCUGUUGUGGGAAGGAUCCUGGUGCUUCCCUGCUGAGAAUUAACUUUCCUUGACUUGGUAGUGCAGAGGAUUCAAACAGCUCUGCUCCAGUCAGUGAGGGCCCAGCAGGAAUGUGAAAGCCGGUGAGACUGAGUGGCUGUGCUGUUGGAUGAGGUGGAUCGUGUCUUGAUGCUGAGCUGCUCGGCGUGUUUGCAGUACUUCCUCAGACUGCCUGUGGUUUAUUUUUAGGGAUGGGUGAGAGCAACUGUUCUUGGAACAGAAAAGCCCUGCUGCACCGAGACACAAUGCUGGCAGCUGCGGCGGUGUACAGAGAAAUGUACAGCAAUGAGGAUGGUUCCAUUCCUGCCACAUAUCAGAUCUACCAUAUGAUAGGAUGGAAAUACCAUGACUCUCAGGCAAGGCCAGCUGAAAGAGGUUCAGCAACCGUGUCAUUUGGAGAUCUAGCAAGACUAAAUGAUACCAUGUCACAGGGGAAAAAAUAAUAAACAUUUGAUUCAAUUGU